CUAAUACCAAUUAAAAGAUUUUCUAGGUACGUAAAAUAAGAAGAAAAAUUAAGUACAUACCAAUGUUCAGCAUCAAAAUAAAAUAAGAUAACACACAGAUCACCAUAGAGAAGAAAUUUCUGAUCAAUUUGCGGAAGCGAGAAGUUCGACUAUGAUCUGGAAGUCACGAACCAAACUUAGAUAAUUUGGUUUCUCCCCCUAUUUCAAGCACUGUACCCGUAUGGUGUGGAACCGAUGGUAAUUCUUCACCAAAAUGCGUAUGAGAAGGUAGAAUGACCAAAUCGACUUCUCAUCAAAGUAUGAUUAGAAUUUUAUUUAAUUUAAAUAGAUAGGAUAGGGAUAAACUAUACCAUAUUAAAUAGUUCUAUAUCAAUUAGGAUUAAUCUUUAUUUAUAAUAAAUUCAAAUCUGAAUAUUAUAUGAUUAAUUGGGCCAAAAUUUAUAGAAAUCCUAACAUAAUUUUCUAACA
rnacentral:lncRNA from 1 species